rnacentral:rRNA from 1 species
GAUGAACGCUGGCGGCGUGCCUAAUACAUGCAAGUCGAGCGAACGGACGAGAAGCUUGCUUCUCUGAUGUUAGCGGCGGACGGGUGAGUAACACGUGGAUAACCUACCUAUAAGACUGGGAUAACUUCGGGAAACCGGAGCUAAUACCGGAUAAUAUUUUGAACCGCAUGGUUCAAAAGUGAAAGACGGUCUUGCUGUCACUUAUAGAUGGAUCCGCGCUGCAUUAGCUAGUUGGUAAGGUAACGGCUUACCAAGGCAACGAUGCAUAGCCGACCUGAGAGGGUGAUCGGCCACACUGGAACUGAGACACGGUCCAGACUCCUACGGGAGGCAGCAGUAGGGAAUCUUCCGCAAUGGGCGAAAGCCUGACGGAGCAACGCCGCGUGAGUGAUGAAGGUCUUCGGAUCGUAAAACUCUGUUAUUAGGGAAGAACAUAUGUGUAAGUAACUGUGCACAUCUUGACGGUACCUAAUCAGAAAGCCACGGCUAACUACGUGCCAGCAGCCGCGGUAAUACGUAGGUGGCAAGCGUUAUCCGGAAUUAUUGGGCGUAAAGCGCGCGUAGGCGGUUUUUUAAGUCUGAUGUGAAAGCCCACGGCUCAACCGUGGAGGGUCAUUGGAAACUGGAAAACUUGAGUGCAGAAGAGGAAAGUGGAAUUCCAUGUGUAGCGGUGAAAUGCGCAGAGAUAUGGAGGAACACCAGUGGCGAAGGCGACUUUCUGGUCUGUAACUGACGCUGAUGUGCGAAAGCGUGGGGAUCAAACAGGAUUAGAUACCCUGGUAGUCCACGCCGUAAACGAUGAGUGCUAAGUGUUAGGGGGUUUCCGCCCCUUAGUGCUGCAGCUAACGCAUUAAGCACUCCGCCUGGGGAGUACGACCGCAAGGUUGAAACUCAAAGGAAUUGACGGGGACCCGCACAAGCGGUGGAGCAUGUGGUUUAAUUCGAAGCAACGCGAAGAACCUUACCAAAUCUUGACAUCCUUUGACAACUCUAGAGAUAGAGCCUUCCCCUUCGGGGGACAAAGUGACAGGUGGUGCAUGGUUGUCGUCAGCUCGUGUCGUGAGAUGUUGGGUUAAGUCCCGCAACGAGCGCAACCCUUAAGCUUAGUUGCCAUCAUUAAGUUGGGCACUCUAAGUUGACUGCCGGUGACAAACCGGAGGAAGGUGGGGAUGACGUCAAAUCAUCAUGCCCCUUAUGAUUUGGGCUACACACGUGCUACAAUGGACAAUACAAAGGGCAGCGAAACCGCGAGGUCAAGCAAAUCCCAUAAAGUUGUUCUCAGUUCGGAUUGUAAUCUGCAACUCGACUACAUGAAGCUGGAAUCGCUAGUAAUCGUAGAUCAGCAUGCUACGGUGAAUACGUUCCCGGGUCU